GCGGCGUGCCUAAUACAUGCAAGUCGAGCGGACAGAUGGGAGCUUGCUCCCUGAUGUUAGCGGCGGACGGGUGAGUAACACGUGGGUAACCUGCCUGUAAGACUGGGAUAACUCCGGGAAACCGGGGCUAAUACCGGAUGCUUGUUUGAACCGCAUGGUUCAAACAUAAAAGGUGGCUUCGGCUACCACUUACAGAUGGACCCGCGGCGCAUUAGCUAGUUGGUGAGGUAACGGCUCACCAAGGCGACGAUGCGUAGCCGACCUGAGAGGGUGAUCGGCCACACUGGGACUGAGACACGGCCCAGACUCCUACGGGAGGCAGCAGUAGGGAAUCUUCCGCAAUGGACGAAAGUCUGACGGAGCAACGCCGCGUGAGUGAUGAAGGUUUUCGGAUCGUAAAGCUCUGUUGUUAGGGAAGAACAAGUGCCGUUCAAAUAGGGCGGCACCUUGACGGUACCUAACCAGAAAGCCACGGCUAACUACGUGCCAGCAGCCCGCGGUAAUACGUAGGUGGCAAGCCGUUGUCCGGAAUUAUUGGGCGUAAAGGGCUCGCAGGCGGUUUCUUAAGUCUGAUGUGAAAGCCCCCGGCUCAACCGGGGAGGGUCAUUGGAAACUGGGGAACUUGAGUGCAGAAGAGGAGAGUGGAAUUCCACGUGUAGCGGUGAAAUGCGUAGAGAUGUGGAGGAACACCAGUGGCGAAGGCGACUCUCUGGUCUGUAACUGACGCUGAGGAGCGAAAGCGUGGGGAGCGAACAGGAUUAGAUACCCUGGUAGUCCACGCCGUAAACGAUGAGUGCUAAGUGUUAGGGGGUUUCCGCCCCUUAGUGCUGCAGCUAACGCAUUAAGCACUCCGCCUGGGGAGUACGGUCGCAAGACUGAAACUCAAAGGAAUUGACGGGGGCCCGCACAAGCGGUGGAGCAUGUGGCUUAAUUCGAAGCAACGCGAAGAACCUUACCAGGUCUUGACAUCCUCUGACAACCCUAGAGAUAGGGCUUCCCCUUCGGGGGCAGAGUGACAGGUGGUGCAUGGUUGUCGUCAGCUCGUGUCGUGAGAUGUGGGGUUAAGUCCCGCAACGAGCGCAACCCUUGAUCUUAGUUGCCAGCAUUCAGUUGGGCACUCUAAGGUGACUGCCGGUGACAAACCGGAGGAAGGUGGGGAUGACGUCAAAUCAUCAUGCCCCUUAUGACCUGGGCUACACACGUGCUACAAUGGACAGAACAAAGGGCAGCGAGACCGCGAGGUUAAGCCAAUCCCACAAAUCUGUUCUCAGUUCGGAUCGCAGUCUGCAACUCGACUGCGUGAAGCUGGAAUCGCUAGUAAUCGCGGAUCAGCAUGCCGCGGUGAAUACGUUCCCGGGCCUUGUACACACCGCCCGUCACACCACGAGAGUUUGUAACACCCGAAGUCGGUGAGGUAACCUUUAUGGAGCCAGCCGCCGAAGGUGGGACAGAUGAUUGGGGUGAAGUCGUAACAAGGUAGCG
rnacentral:rRNA from 1 species